ACGGGUGAGUAACACGUUGGUAACCUGCCUAUGAGACUGGGAUAACUAUCGGAAACGAUAGCUAAGACCGGAUAACUGGUUUUCUCGCAUGAGAGAAUCAUGAAACACGGAGCAAUCUGUGGCUUAUAGAUGGGCCUGCGGCGCAUUAGCUAGUUGGUAGGGUAAUGGCCUACCAAGGCGACGAUGCGUAGCCGACCUGAGAGGGUGACCGGCCACACUGGGACUGAGACACGGCCCAGACUCCUACGGGAGGCAGCAGUAGGGAAUCUUCCGCAAUGGACGCAAGUCUGACGGAGCAACGCCGCGUGAGUGAUGAAGGUUUUCGGAUCGUAAAGCUCUGUUGCCCUAGACGAACAGCAUGAGGAGUAACUGCCUUAUGUGUGACGGUAUAGGAGAAGAAAGCCCCGGCUAACUACGUGCCAGCAGCCGCGGUAAUACGUAGGGGGCAAGCGUUGUCCGGAAUUAUUGGGCGUAAAGCGCGCGCAGGCGGUCAAUUAAGUUGGGUGUUUAAGCCCGGGGCUCAACCCCGGUUCGCAUCCAAAACUGGUUGACUUGAGUGUAGGAGAGGAAAGUGGAAUUCCACGUGUA
rnacentral:rRNA from 1 species